AGCGGCGCGCUUACACAUGCAAGUCGCACGAGAAAGGGCUACGGCCCCGGUACAGUGGCGCACGGGUGAGUAACACGUAGGUAACCUACCCUUGAGUGGUGGAUAACACCCUGAAAAGGAUGCUAAUACACCAUGAGACCACGGUUUCGUCAGGAACAGAGGUCAAAGCGGGCCUCUUCAUGAAAGCUCGCGCUCGGGGAUGGGCCUGCGGCGCAUCAGCUAGUUGGUGGGGUAAUAGCCUACCAAGGCGAAGACGCGUAGCUGGUCUGAGAGGAUGAUCAGUCACACUGGAACUGAGACACGGUCCAGACUCCUACGGGAGGCAGCAGUGGGGAAUUUUGCGCAAUGGGCGAAAGCCUGACGCAGCGACGCCGCGUGGGUGAUGAAGGCCUUCGGGUUGUAAAGCCCUGUGGGGAGGGAAGAAUAAGGUACGGAUAAUACCCGUGCUGAUGACGGUACCUCCUUAGCAAGCACCGGCUAACUCUGUGCCAGCAGCCGCGGUAAGACAGAGGGUGCAAACGUUGUUCGGAAUUACUGGGCGUAAAGCGCGUGUAGGCGGCCAUGCAAGUCGGGUGUGAAAGCCCUGGGCUCAACCGAGGAAGUGCACUCGAAACUGCAUGGCUGGAGUCCCGGAGAGGAUGGUGGAAUUCUCGGUGUAGAGGUGAAAUUCGUAGAUCUCGAGAGGAACACCUGUGGCGAAGGCGGCCAUCUGGACGGGCACUGACGCUGAGACGCGAAAGCGUGGGUAGCAAACAGGAUUAGAUACCCUGGUAGUCCACGCUGUAAACGAUGGGUGCUAGGUGUCGCGGGCUUUGACCCCUGCGGUGCCGUAGCUAACG
rnacentral:rRNA from 1 species